rnacentral:tRNA from 1 species
GCGAGAGUGGCGGAACUGGUAGACGCGCUGGAUUUAGGAUCCAGUGGCCUUAGCUGUAGGGGUUCGAGUCCCCUCUCUCGCACCA